rnacentral:rRNA from 1 species
UACGUAGGGGGCAAGCGUUGUCCGGAUUUAUUGGGCGUAAAGAGCGUGUAGGCGGUUUGGUAGGUCCGUUGUGAAAACUCGAGGCUCAACCUCGAGACGCCGAUGGAAACCAUCAGACUAGAGUCCGGAAGAGGAGAGUGGAAUUCCUGGUGUAGCGGUGAAAUGCGCAGAUAUCAGGAAGAACACCCGUGGCUGAGGCGGCUCUCUAGUACGGUACUGACGCUGAGGAGCGAAAGCGUGGGGAGCAAACAGG